ensembl:lncRNA
GUGGUGCCUGACUCUGCCAGACUCUCUGUCUGUGCCCCAGGGAAGCGACAUGCAGCUCCCAGGACUUUGUUUCCUUCAUCGGUAAAAUAGGAAUUUAAAAACCGGCACUAAACGUCUGCUCUCAAGGAUCACUGUGAGGAUGAAACGGCAGCUCCAGUAUGGCCCAGCCAGGUGUGGACAGGAGGCUUCUGGACAUGAAGAUGUGAACACACUGUGUGGUCUGCAAGCCUGGUGUGCACACGGCUGCUGGCUGACACGCCUGUCCCAGCCACAGCCCCAUGGCAUGCUUGUCUCCAGGCAUGAGUCCAAGCUGGCUCCAUCUUUCAGCACUGGACCCUAGAGAGCAUCCAGUCUUCUUCAAACCUCUGUUUCCCCAUCUGCAAAAUGGCAGUCUCAGGGCCUCCACCCUGCACCUCAAAUUCUGAGGGCCUGAUGCAUUUCUGAGUUCCCAACUUUUGGAUUUUUAGAAAAGUAAUAGAGUGUGGGUGUUACUUCAUAUGUAACACUAUGUUAUGGAUUAGCUCCAAAAUGUACCCCAAAAGUCAUAUGGGUGGAAGGUGACUGCAUCAUGGAUUCACUCACUGGUGACCUCAGGGCUGAGUGUGCUGUUAGGCGUGGGCCUGGCUGACGCUGGUCCCUGGGGUCUCUCUGCUUCCUGGGUGCAGCUGUCCUCUGCUGGGCCUUCCACCAAACCUUUCUGCUGUGGAGCUGGUAGACCAUGGACAGAACCCACUGAGACUGUGAGCUAAGUAAACCUGUCCUCCCCUAGGCUGUGGGUGCUGGUAUUGUAUUCCAGCAAUGGAACGUGACCGAGACACACCACUAGUCCUGCGUCAAACUUACCAACAUUUCUCCAGCAAAUCUAUGAAUGUCCAAAUUAAGCAGAUUACGUAAAACCACGAGUAAAUUCAUGCUAGCUGAGGUCAGGUUUUGCCACCAAAUGAAGUAAUUGUUUUAAGUUGCUGUGUUCAGAACAUUGUGCGUGAAGAACUAGAGAUGUGAGUAGCCGUCCAGUGCCACCUCCCUCAUGGGAAGACAGGAGUCCUGUGCCUGUGGAGGGUGCUGCAGGGACAUGGCUUUACAACACUGGCUGCCAUGCACAGCUUUUCAUGGUGGCUCUGAGCCAGGAGCCAUUUUCCUUAUGAUUGGUGUAUGUUUGUGGUACAUAAAAGUUCCGUAUAUGUGCCCCUCUCUCUUCCCUGGGUCCCUGUCCCCUUCUCCACAAAGUCUGCCUCCCCGUUUCCUACCAUCUCUUUUAUUUUGCUCUUUAGAUUAUUUAUAUUUUGGGUUUCUCAGAGAUGAGAAACUGAUAUUUAACCCCUGUCUGAUUUCUUUCACUUAGCAUGAUGGUCUCAAGAUGCACCCAUUCUGUUAAUGACUCACAUCUGUCCUGCUUCUCAGCUGAGUUGUACUCCAUCGUGUGUGCAGCAUACACCACUUUUUUUUGGUACUGGGAAUUGAACUCAGUUCCUUGCACUUGCACAGCAGGCAGCAGAACCACUGAGCUAAAUCCCCGGCCCUACGCCACAUUUUAAUGCCCAUAGUGAAGAGGGGAACAGAGGCCCAGGGCAGUUGAGUAGCUGCUCAUUGUACAUAGCUCUAAAUGACCAGCUGGCCCUCAAUGUCCUAGCCUGGCAGCAUCCACCCAUUAUGUGCUUGUCACUAAGCUGGGAAGGAGAAGUGGCAACUCAGGCCUCUGACUCCUUUCUUUGUUUGCUUGCGGUCACACUCUGGGCAGGUGCUCACCACUGAAAUGGACUCCAGCCAGGCCUGGACUUUGACUCUGCCCUCUCAGCUCACCAGGCCUCUACUGGAGGGAGAUGUGAAAGAGAAAGUUAAAAGCGAGCACGUCUUUCUGGAAGUCUGGCUGGGCCUGCACUCAAUCUCCCAGCCCCGCUGUCCGCACUGCAGUGCUUGCUCUCCUCGGGCAGCGGCCUGACUGCCUGGCUGCUCCUGCUCUGUCCAGGCAGCCCAGCUGGUCAGAGAUCCCUGCAGGGCCCCGGCCCUCAGAGAGGUCACCCAGUCCCCCUUCCCAGCGGCCAGGUUGCCUGGCCAGUGUGGAUGUGGGGAGGAGCAGAGGUCUCCUGGAUGCUGUGGCUGCACAGACAUCUCCAGACUGCCAAGUUCUGCCUGCCUCCCGUGCAGCCAGCACCCGGCCAGGCUUGAAUCAUUCUUCAGCUUGAGCUGCGUCCCACGCUGCCGGCUCCAGUUCGAUCCCUGCAGAGCAGCACUCAUCCACCCACACUUGCUGCUGGCACCCGGUUGCCUGUCAAACUCACCCCGCUGCAUGCUGGGUCCUCACACCCAUGGCACACAUCCCAGUUCCAGGGUCGCUGCAGUGACGGAUUGAGUCCCAGAGCUUGAAAUUGUCCUCAACUCUGCCCUUGCAUCCCUGUCUGAUGGUGAGGUCUCUGGGUUCCUGCAGCCUGGUCACUCUGGUCAGCGGGUCCAGCUCCGAUGACUGCAGUGUUUCCUGACAUGUCCCCUGCUGCCUUGUGUGUGGUUUGUGAAAUCAUGAGAAAUAGACACAUUGAUCUCUGCCCUGGUCCCUGGCCUACAGCUGCUGAAGCCCUUGCAGACAGGGGCACUGGGAGGUUGUUUGUUCUAGUAUCGGGUCUUUGACCCCAGUUCCAGAGCUCCUAGGAUGUCUGUCAUUUCCUGAGUGAUAGGAGGGUCCAGCACACAGGUCCUCGUCCUCUGGAAUUUCCUGGGAGCUGGAACUUUGUCAAGCAGCAAUGGAGGUCCGUUGGGCUUCGCCACAGUUCUGCAUGACCUAAAAUCCCUCCACACUUGGAUUUCAUGAUGUUUUAUGGAAUGUGCAGUGACCUUGUUUUCCACGUUUCGAACCAGAAAAUCUUUGGACUCAUGGGAACAUGGGUUUGGAGCCAGACAGACAGCCUGACAACAGGGCUGUGGAAGAACUCAAGGCCGGUGCUGGUCCAGGGAGGUAAAAAUCUACCCUCAGGAGCUGUAACAGGGUGAGGGCCUAAGGCACCUGGGCUCAACUUUUCUCCCAUGAAUUAUACUUCCUGCCACAGAAAUCUGGAAGCUGCGAUACACACAGACGUCAGCCUUCUAACUUAGCCUGGCCGGCACGGAAAUGAAGUCCUAGGUCCCCCACCUUGAGGACACCCGACUCCAUGGGAACUCCACCCCAGACCAAGAUGCAUCUCUGUCCCAAGGCUUGUCCUCCAUUCUCUGAGAGGGGACUGUUUUAAUUUUGCCUAAUAAACCUCUUCACUCCUCUUGCUGAUGAAUCUUGAAAAUACUUUUUCUGCGAUGGAAGUCAGCGAACUUUCAACCUGUUGCAUGGGUGUGAAUGCUGCUGAUCGAGGGGACCUGUCUCUGGGCCGACGAACCUGCCCUCACCAGCAUGGCGCAGUCGCAGCUGAAGAGAAGAAGUGGCGCCACGGGCAUCCACACACUCGCAGAGUGCACACCGUGGGCCAAGCCGAGAGGUGCCUCAGUGCUAACAGAAUUCUGCACAGGGUUAGAUGCGAGCCUUACCAACAGCUAGAAACCAUACACUAUGACACGGAUUACCUUUUUAGCUAUUUUAUUUUAUUAUUAUUAUUUUUUUGAGAUGGGGUCUUGCUACAUAGCCCAGGCUGGCUUUGAACUCACGGAGAUCCUCCUACCUCCCUAGUCUUGGGAUUCUAAGUGUGCAUUACACACCUGGCUCUUUUUAGUCUAUUUUAACUCUUGAUCAGUAAGCUUAUAAAACUGUGUUUCAACCAGCUUUGAACCAUCAUAUACCAUAAUUUUUUAUCUGAAUGAAAUUAUUAAGGCAGAUAUUCAUAAUAUAAUUAAACAGAAACACUAUGAAGUUCUGGUUUUUUUUGGUUUUUUUCAGUACUGAGAAUUGAACCCAGGGCCUUCACACUGAGCUACAUCCCAGCCCCUUUUACUUUUUUUUUUUUUUGGUACUGGGAGUCUAACUCGGGACCUUGUGCUUGUGGGGCAGGCCGCAGAACCACUGAGCUAAAUCCGGCCCCUUUUUUAAUUUUUAUUUUGAGACAGGCUCUUGCUAAGUCACCAAGUCGCCCAGGUUGGGUUCAAAUUUGUGGUCCUUCUGCCUCAGCCUCCCAGAGUGCUGGGAUCACACGUGUGCCCCACCCCACCCAGCUUAGUGUUCUUCUAGCCUUAAUAUUCUUUC